CUACGGGGGGCUGCAGUGAGGAAUAUUGCAUAAUGGGGGGAACCCUGAUGCAGCAACGCCGCGUGGAGGAUGACGCAUUUCGGUGUGUAAACUCCUUUUAUAUGUCAAGAAAAUGACGGUAGCAUAUGAAUAAGCACCGGCUAACUCCGUGCCAGCAGCCGCGGUAAUACGGAGGGUGCAAGCGUUACCCGGAAUCACUGGGCGUAAAGGACGCGUAGGCGGGUUGGAAAGUCAGGUGUGAAAUCCUACAGCUUAACUGUAGAACUGCACUUGAAACUUCUAAUCUAGAGUAUGGGAGGGGGAGAUGGAAUUAGUGGUGUAGGGGUAAAAUCCGUAGAUAUCACUAGGAAUACCUAAAGCGAAGGCGAUCUCCUGGAACAUUACUGACGCUAAGGCGUGAAAGCGUGGGGAGCAAACAGGAUUAGAUACCCCGGUAGUC
rnacentral:rRNA from 1 species